CAAUAGCGUAUAUUAAAGUUGUUGCAGUUAAAAAGCUCGUAGUUGGAUUUCUGGUCGUGGUCGCCGGUCGUGCCCAAACGGGUUCUGUACCUGGCGCCCGCGUCCAUCCUCGGGGAGAGCGUGUCUGGCAUUAAGUUGUCGGGCUCGGGACCCCCGUCAUUUACUGUGAGCAAAAUAGAGUGUUCAAAGCAGGCCUACGCUUGAAUACAUUAGCAUGGAAUAAUGGAAUAGGACUUUGGUGCUAUUUUGUGGUUUAUGGGACCGAAGUAAUGAUUAACAGGGACAGUUGGGGCCGUUUAUAUUUCGUUGUCAGAGGUGAAAUUCUUGGAUUUACGAAAGAUAAACUUCUGCGAAAGCAUUCGGCAAGGAUGUUUUCAUUGAUCAAGAACGAAAGUUAGGGGAUCGAAGAUGAUCAGAU
rnacentral:rRNA from 1 species